GGGGUGAGGGGGCAACUCUUCAUUCAGUGGCGAACGGGUGAGUAAUGCAUCGGAACGUGUCCCGUAGUGGGGGAUAACGCCGCGAAAGCGGCGCUAAUACCGCAUAUGCUCUACGGAGGAAAGCAGGGGACCUGAGAGGGCCUUGUGCUGGGGGAGCGGCCGAUGUCCGAUUAGCUUGUUGGUGGGGUAACGGCCUACCAAGGCUGCGAUCGGUAGCUGGUCUGAGAGGAUGAUCAGCCACACUGGGACUGAGACACGGCCCAGACUCCUACGGGAGGCAGCAGUGGGGAAUUUUGGACAAUGGGGGCAACCCUGAUCCAGCCAUGCCGCGUGCGGGAAGAAGGCCUUCGGGUUGUAAACCGCUUUUAGCCGGGAAGAAAAGUCUACGGAUAACACCCGUGGGUUUUGACGGUACCGGCGGAAUAAGCACCGGCUAACUACGUGCCAGCAGCCGCGGUAAUACGUA
rnacentral:rRNA from 1 species